CCUUCGCCGAUUGUUUCAGGUGCUCUGUGGCCGACGGCCGACAGGGUGAAACAGGGAAGCCGGUGAGCCCUUCGACAGGUGCGAUUCCGGCGCUGCCCCCGCAACGGUAAAUGAGUCAAGACCGCGCCUUGAGCCACUGUGUCCAACCGACAUGGGAAGGCGCGCGGUCCCGCGCAUACGCGCUCAUGAGCCCGGAGACCGGCCUGAUCCAUCCCACAGCG
rnacentral:ncRNA from 1 species